rnacentral:rRNA from 1 species
GACGAACGCUGGCGGCGUGCUUAACACAUGCAAGUCGAACGAUGAAGAAGAGAAACGCGAACUUCGGUUCAAAUUUCACUUCGGAUUAGUGGCAGACGGGUGAGUAACGCGUGAGCAACCUACCUCUUACAAAGGGAUAGCCUCGGGAAACCGUGAUUAAUACCAUAUGACACAUUCAUAAGGCAUCUUAAGGAUGUUAAAGCUACGGCGGUAAGAGAUGGGCUCGCGUCCCAUUAGCUAGUUGGUGAGGUAACGGCCCACCAAGGCGACGAUGGGUAACCGGCCUGAGAGGGUGAACGGUCACAUUGGAACUGAGACACGGUCCAAACUCCUACGGGAGGCAGCAGUGGGGAAUAUUGCACAAUGGAGGGAACUCUGAUGCAGCGACGCCGCGUGAGCGAUGAAGGAAUUCGUUUCGUAAAGCUCUGUUCUAUGGGAAGAAAAGGACUGUACCAUAGGAGAAAGCCCCGGCUAAAUACGUG